UGGAUACAUACUUGCCACAAACGGUCU
rnacentral:piRNA from 1 species